GCUCAUAUAGCUCAGUGGUAGAGCAUUUGUCUUAUGAGCAGAUGGCCGAGGGUUCGACCCCCUCUAUGAGCA
rnacentral:tRNA from 1 species